GACGGACUCGCGCAACUCUCUAUCCAGGUCUUGACACCCACGCCAAUCGGGGAGUCGUUUCCCGCGUAAACUUUGUUGCCAUCCUCGAGCUUCUCCAACGAUAAACUAAUGUCAGAUCUGAACGAACGAAAGACUGUGGAUUAUGUGAUUGUUGGGACAGAUAUAUUCGUAUUGGCGAAGAUUUCUCUGUCGGUAAUAUGGUCUAUCUUAGAUGUGGACAGAUUUUCCUGCGCGAUUCUCGAGUCAGUACAGGGGCUGAACGAGAUAUUUCAUCAUAAAUAAACUGUUCAUUUUAUAUGGCAAAUGUAUCUAUAGAAAACAAAAUAUUACGAAAUAUGAUUACGUAAUGAAUUGAUGGGAGGCGUGCCGAUCACGUGAAACAUCGAGCCAUUCUCUGGACAACUUUUCCCAGUGUUUAUGGAAGCUGUAUAAUUAAUAUUCCCGAGUCCAGCCAAGCUGAGGGAGGUCCUCGGAGGACGAUAAUAGGGGCUGGGUC